rnacentral:rRNA from 1 species
GAUGAACGCUAGCGGGAGGCUUAACACAUGCAAGUCGAGGGGCAGCAUAGGGUAGCAAUACUCUGAUGGCGACCGGCAAACGGGUGAGUAACGCGUAUGCAACCUACCCUGUACAGGGGGAUAACCCGGAGAAAUUCGGACUAAUAUCCCGUAAUAAUAUCCGGAGGCAUCUUUGGAUAUUUAAAGUUCCGACGGUACGGGAUGGGCAUGCGUAACAUUAACUGGUUGGUAAGGUAACGGCUUACCAAGGCUAUGAUGUUUAGGGGUCCUGAGAGGGUGGUCCCCCACACUGGUACUGAGACACGGACCAGACUCCUACGGGAGGCAGCAGUGAGGAAUAUUGGUCAAUGGGCGCAAGCCUGAACCCAGCCAUCCCGCGUGCAGGAAGACGGCCCUAUGGGUUGUAAACUGCUUUUCCAGGGAGAGAAACUUACGCACGUGUUGCGUGACUGACGGUACCCUGGGAAUAAGCAUCGGCUAACUCCGUGCCAGCAGCCGCGUAAUCACGAGAGUA